AUUGAACGCUGGCGGCAUGCCUUACACAUGCAAGUCGAACGGCAGCACGGGAGCAAUCCUGGUGGCAAGUGGCGAACGGGUGAGUAAAGUAUCGGAACGUGCCCAGUCGUGGGGGAUAACGUAGCGAAAGUUACGCUAAUACCGCAUACGAUCUAUGGAUGAAAGCGGGGGAUCGCAAGACCUCGCGCGAUUGGAGCGGCAGAUAUCAGAUUAGGUAGUUGGGGGGGUAAAGGCUCACCAAGCCGACGAUCUGUAGCGGGUCUGAGAGGACGCCCAGCCACACUGGGACUGAGACACGGCCCAGACUCCUACGGGAGGCAGCAGUGGGGAAUUUUGGACAAUGGGCGAAAGCCUGAUCCAGCCAUGCCGCGUGCAGGAUGAAGGCCUUCGGGUUGUAAACUGCUUUUGUACGGAACGAAAAGGUUUGGCCUAAUAAGCUGAGCUCAUGACGGUACCGUAAGAAUAAGCACCGGCUAACUACGUGCCAGCCGCCGCCGUAA
rnacentral:rRNA from 1 species